AAUUGGAGGGCAAGUCUGGUGCCAGCAGCCGCGGUAAUUCCAGCUCCAAUAGCGUAUAUUAAAGUUGUUGCAGUUAAAAAGCUCGUAGUUGAAUUUCGGGAUUGACGUGAUGGUCGUGCCUUACGGGGUAUGAACUGUUGCUGUUGAUUUCUCACCUUCUGGAGAAACUUGAUGUCCUUAAUUGGGUGUCUUGCGGAUCCAGGACCUUUACCUUGAAAAAAUUAGAGUGUUUAAAGCAGGCAUUUUGCUCGAAUACAUUAGCAUGGAAUAAUAGAAUAGGACGGCAUGGUUCUACUUUGUUGGUUUCUAGGAUCACCGUAAUGAUUAAUAGGGAUAGUUGGGGGCAUUAGUAUUCAAUUGUCAGAGGUGAAAUUCUUGGAUUUAUUGAAGACUAACUACUGCGAAAGCAUUUGCCAAGGAUGUUUUCAUUAAUCAAGAACGAAAGUUAGGGGAUCGAAGACGAUCAGAUACCGUCGUAGUCUUAACCAUAAACUAUGCCGACUAGGAAUCAGACGAUGUUAAUUUUUUAAUGACUCGUUUGGCACCUUACGGGAAACCAAAGUGU
rnacentral:rRNA from 1 species